rnacentral:tRNA from 1 species
UGCCGACAUGGUGGAAUUGGUAGACACGCUAUCUUGAGGGGGUAGUGGCCGUAGGCUGUGCGAGUUCAAAUCUCGCUGUCGGCACCAC